GACCAGUCCCAGAUGGGUGAUUGGCACCGUAAGUACAGUAUCCAUUGACGCUGAAGGUCUCUGAGUUUUUAAAAUGAGACUCAGAGACCAUCAGAACGUCAACUUCGUGUCUGCAUGCAAAUGCCGCAAGUUCAGCUGUCUUCCCUCGGAGUCCCGAGGCGUUCCAAAAUACAAUCUUUAGAUUGCUGUGGUGGCGGGUAGAGUAGUUAGCAUUAGGAUUAUACAUUUCUGGCAAAUGAAUUCGCCUGAAUGCUAGCGUAUAAACAGUCUGUAAGCUUUGUCAUUUGAGCAAUUAACACAUCCAUUUUUCCUUCCAGCUUUUGAGUAGAUUCAGCAGCGGCGGCCGCAUGCUGGAUCCGCUCCUGAGUCAGCAGGGUGAUGAGAUAGUCCAGUUUCUGGCUGAGCUCAUCGCUAGGACGGACACUCUGACUGCUCGCCACGGGCUGGAAUCCAGUUGUGGUCGCUGCUGGCGGCACCGAAUGCCAUACUUGCCUCCCAGGAAGAGGCUGGGAAUGACUCGCUGGUUGCCGUGUGCGGAGUGCAUCGGCAUAACUGCUCAUUUGAACUGGAGGAGCAGGAGCUCUUGCGCCAGAGCGCGCUCGCCGGCGGCUAGGUUGCUGCAGUGCUGGAAAUCCCUGCUGGUUCAUGACGGGUGGCUGGCGGGGACGCCGCAAACCCUGAGUGGCGGCUUUUGAGUAGAUUCAGCAGCGGCGGCCGCAUGCUGGAUCCGCUCCUGAGUCAGCAGGGUGAUGAGAUAGUCCAGUUUCUGGCUGAGCUCAUCGCUAGGACGGACACUCUGACUGCUCGCCACGGGCUGGAAUCCAGUUGUGGUCGCUGCUGGCGGCACCGAAUGCCAUACUUGCCUCCCAGGAAGAGGCUGGGAAUGACUCGCUGGUUGCCGUGUGCGGAGUGCAUCGGCAUAACUGCUCAUUUGAACUGGAGGAGCAGGAGCUCUUGCGCCAGAGCGCGCUCGCCGGCGGCUAGGUUGCUGCAGUGCUGGAAAUCCCUGCUGGUUCAUGACGGGUGGCUGGCGGGGACGCCGCAAACCCUGAGUGGCGGCUGAACCACUAAUUACACAUGGUUGGGACAUUUAACUUUACAUUACAAGAAAUCAAGACACUCUGGCAACAACGUGCAUUUGUUUACAUUUAGAAAUUGCAUUCGGACGUAUAUGUAUAUAGGUAUGGACCUCUAUCAUCAGCUCACUGGAUGGAAUUGGGUCUGUACAAGUUGGCUUGAGCAGGUGUCAAAACAAUGGACCCGGUGAUUUCAUCAGGCUGCUGCAACCUCAGGGGAAGUAUAAAGCCGCACCGUAAGUGAGUAAGUAUUUGAUUUUUAUAGAUUGCUUCGCUUAUAUGCUUCCAGAGGGCGUGUCUUUCGGUGUGCGCCUUUCCACCAUUGGCGCACUGGACGGCGGUGAAAUUUCAGGUGACCUGGGAGCGGUCUGAGU